UACCAAACACACCCAAAUCAAAACCCUUCUACCUCAAACCCUUCGAUUCCAACACCCCCUUCAAGCUGGAGGGGGUAGAUAACACACCUAGCUUUCCCAAAUGAUCACGAUGAAGAGGUCCGGCGAGUGGUUUGGUGAANNNNNNNNNNNNNNNNNNNNNNNNNCAGAUCUGCCAACUGGGCAGGAGAUCGAACAAAGUUUAACGAAAUCAGCCCAGCUAGGUAUUGGUCGCGUACAAAAUGACAAUCGAUUUCAACGUGCUUCGUCCGUUCGUGAAAAACAGGGUUUUUUGCUAUGUGAAUUGCUGCUUGGCUAUCGGAGUGAAGAGGGACUGGAAGAGAGAUAGGAAUUGACAAAUCCUCAAAAAGACGGACCAACCAUGUGAGCUCUGCAACUACUCGCCGCAUAGAUCUGUAUUCUGCUUCGGCGGAACUGAGCGAGAUGGAAGUUUGCUUCUUGGACUUCCAAGAGAUCGGAGAGGUACCAAGAGAAAUAUAAAAACCACUGACCGACUUCCUCGAAUCCGGGCAAGUGGCCCAAUCGGAGUCACAAAAAGCUAGGAGCUUGAAGGAGGAGGAAACAGACAUAAAAAGCCCUAGCCCAGGAUCUUUGAGCAGAUAGCGAAGAACACGGAGUGCUGCAUCUAGGUGGGGUUGUCGAGGGUGCUGCAUGUACUGACUGAGGUGUUGGACAGUGAAGGAUAAGUCUGGGCGGGUGUGAGUGAGGUAGUUAAGUUUUCCAAGGAGAUGACGAUACAAGGUGGGAUCUUUCACUGGUUCCCCUAUGUGAGUAGACAAACGAGUAGACGAAUCGAGUGGAGAAGAAACAGGGGACAAGUGCAGAGAGUCAAAUUCUCGGAGAAGGUCUAAAGUGAAUCUGCGCUGAGAAAGGAGAAGUCCAUCUGUUUUUCGGACAACUUCCAUGCCUAGAAAAAAAUGUAAGUCCCCGAGAUCUUUAAUUUUGAACUCUUGAUUGAGAAAUUCUUUCAAAGCAUGUAGUUCGUUGGUGUCAUUACCUGUCAAGAGUAUAUCAUCCACAUAGACAGCCACUAUAGAAACGGAAGAAUCUGACCUUUUAAAGAACAAAGAAUAGUCGUUGAAUGAGUGAGUAAAUCCCUUAAAAUUCAAAGCAGUUGUAAGUUUAGCAUACCACUGACGAGAUGCUUGUCGUAGCCCAUAAAUUGAUUUCUUUAGCUUGCAUGCAUGAUUAGGUGAAGUAGGUAUAACUCCAGGUGGGAAUUUCAUGUACACUUCUUCAUUUAGAUCUCCAUGUAGGAAAGCGUUAUUCACAUCUAGCUGGUAUAGACCCCAUCCUUUCUUUACGGCAGUGGCUAGUAUGCAUCUGAUUGUGGUCAUCUUCACCACCGGUGAAAAAGUUUCAUUGAAGUCUAUUCCCUCUUUUUGUAUGUCUCCUCUAAUGACCAAUCUUGCCUUUAGUCUUUCCACACUCCCAUCUGAAUGGUGUUUAACCUUAUAGACCCAUUUGCAUGGUAAAGCUUUCCUCCCGGGUGGUAAUUCAACCACUUCCCAAGUCAUAUUAAGUUCAAGUGCCUCAAUCAAUCUCUUUAUUCAUUGCUUCUUGCCACCCUGGGUGGUGUGUUGCCUGUAAAUAGUCAGUAGGUUCUUGUAUAUUGGACAAUGUGUUUAGCAUAUGUUGAUUGGUAGAAGAUAGUCCACUGAAAGAUAUAUAAGUAGGUUUAACUGGUGUGAGAAAGCAAGAGUUGCUAACAUCUGUGAGUUGGAGUGCAUUACAGAUAAAAUCUUUGAGAUAAGAUGGAGUUGUGUGUGGUCUGGUAGACUUCCUAAUAAGAACAUCCAUCGUAGAAUCAGAAUCCAAAGAAGGAAAAACUGGUGUAGAUGUAUGUGGUUGAUUAGAUGUAACUGGAGAAUCUGGAGAGAAACUAGAAGGAGAGAUAGAGGGAAUAGGUGAACUAGGAUGGCUGGAAUAAAUGGGGGAAGAACAACAGUCACUUGAUGCAGUAGCCUUUUUGGAGGCUUUAGUGUGUGGUCUGAUAGGAAAAGAUAGAGGCUCAGGAGUCUGAUGAUUUGCAGAUAAUGGAGCAGUGGGUAAAGAAAUCUCAGAAGAAGAAUUAGACUUAAUAGAAGCAAAAGGAAAGAAUUCUUCAUGAAAUAUAACAUCUCUAGAAAUGAAAGGCUUCAAAUUCUUGAGGUUCAAGACUUUGUAACCCUUCUUUCCAUGAGGAUAACCUAAGAACACACAAGGUAUAGCUCUAGGUUCAAACUUAGUUCUUUGAUUUGAGACAGUAGAAGCAAAACACAAACACCCAAAGCAUCUAAGGUUAGAGUAAUUUGGCUUGCUUGAAAAAAAGGACUUCAUAAGGAGUCUUAAGCUUUAAGACACUUGAAGGAAAUCUGUUGAUCAAAUAGGUUGCUGUAAGAAGGCAGUCACCCCAGUAUGAUGUAGGCAGGUGUGAUUGGUAUAACAAGGCUCUAGAUGUCUCUAAAAGAUUCCUGUGCUUUCUCUCCACCACUCCAUUUUGUUGUGGUGUGAACACACAAGUGGUUUGAUGAAUAAUACCUAGUGACUCAAAAAAUUCUGAUUGAAUUUUACCACUUCCCAAUUCAAAAGCAUUGUCUGACCUUAUGAUUUUUACCUUGCUGUUAAACUGUCUUUCUACCAUAGCUAUAAAACCUCGUAGAAUAGUGAAUGCAUUGGAUUUGUUGGUUAGUAGGUAGGUCCAUGUGCCUCUACUGAAAUCAUCAACAAUUGUAAGGAAGUAUUUAAAACCAUCAUAUGUAGCACUAUUGUAUGGUCCCUAGGUAUCCACAUGAAUUAAUUCAAACACUUUCUUAGUAGAAAUAGAACUAGAGGGAAAUGGAAGUUUGGACUGUCUUGCCAUAGGACAAAUAAGACAUGGACUGAAGAAUUUGGAACACUUGGAUAUAGAAACUGAUGAAACAUUUUUCAUAUUGCUAAGGGGCAUAUGGCCUAAUCUGUAGUGCCAUAGUUUCUCUUUUACAGUUGAAUCAGAAAAACUAAAACAUGAAUGCAAACUAAGAUUGGAAACAGAAUUCCUUCUUGGAAUAAAAACACUUCUAAAUUUGAGUGGACUCUUAGACACUGGUGUUGUAUGUUUGGAUCUGAGAAUGUAGAGGGCCCCUUCCUCUUUACCAAUCACCGGUGGGCUCUUCACUCAAGGGCCCUGUAUAAGAAAACAUGAAAAAGGUGUGAAUAAAAUAUAUUGCUUGAGUUGUCUGCACAACUUGUGCACAGACAACAGAUUAUAUUUGAAGGAUGGAAUGUAAAGAACAUUUCGAAGAAUCAAAUUAGGCAAAAGAGAAAUAGUUCCUGAAUGAGUGACCUGAACUCUGUAAGAGUUUGGGAGUUUUACCAUGAGAGGUUUAGCCAAAGUUUUUAAUUCUGUAAAAAAAAUCUUUGUUAAAAGACAUAUGUUCUGUUGCUCCACUAUCCAAUAUCCAAGACUCAUCAUUGAUUUGAAUUAAACAGGCUAAAUCUUCAGAUAAAUUGGUCAUACCAGCAUGGCUCACAUUUGCUGCAACAUCAGGGGUAUCUGCACUGGAAUGUCCCACUCUCACUUGCUGAAGAAGCUGCAGCAGCUCAGCCACAUUUUCCUUGGUGAGAUUCUGAACUCCUGAUGCACUUCCCUGUUCAUUUUCUUCAUUUGAGAAGGAAGCUUUGUUUGCCUGGGCACCUCUUUGAAAUCUUUUCUCCCUUGUGAACUUGAAAUCAGCUGGAAACUCAUGAAUUCUAUAGCAUUUCUGGAUGCUAUGUCC
rnacentral:lncRNA from 1 species